AGAGUUUGAUCAUGGCUCAGAAUCAACGCUGGCGGCGUGCCUAACACAUGCAAGUCGAACGAGAAAGUGGAGCAAUCCAUGAGUACAGUGGCGACCGGGUGAGUAACACGUGACCAACCUGCCCUCGAGUGGGGAAUAACCCCGGGAAACCGGGGCUAAUACCGCAUAACAUCGCAAGAUCAAAGCAGCAAUGCGCUUGAGGAGGGGGUCGCGGCUGAUUAGCUAGUUGGUAGGGUAAUGGCCUACCAAGGCGAAGAUCGGUAUCCGGCCUGAGAGGGCGCACGGACACACUGGAACUGAAACACGGUCCAGACUCCUACGGGAGGCAGCAGUGGGGAAUUUUGCGCAAUGGGGGAAACCCUGACGCAGCAACGCCGCGUGGAGGAUGAAGUCCCUUGGGACGUAAACUCCUUUCGACCCGGACGAUACUGACGGUACGGGUGGAAGAAGCACCGGCUAACUCUGUGCCAGCAGCCGCGGUAAUACAGAGGGUGCGAGCGUUGUUCGGAAUUAUUGGGCGUAAAGGGCGCGUAGGCGGCGCGGUAAGUCACCUGUGAAAUCUCCUGGCUCAACUGGGAGCUUGCAGGCGAAACUGCCGUGCUGGAGUGUGGAAGAGGUGCGUGGAAUUCCUGGUGUAGCGGUGAAAUGCGUAGAUAUCAGGAGGAACACCUGUGGCGAAAGCGGCGCACUGGACCACAACUGACGCUGAGGCGCGAAAGCUAGGGGAGCAAACAGGAUUAGAUACCCCCGUAGUCC
rnacentral:rRNA from 1 species